GACAACGAUUCAGAGAGCUGCCUUGCCCUGCUCUGAGCCAUAAAGCCACUCCACAUCUCCACAAAUUGAUUUGUAAGCAGCUGGGAUGUGAUUCUCACGUGCUGAACCAGAAACAGACUGCAGCAUUUGCUGAAGACAAGCCCUGCCAAAGGCUGCCAGGCUGGGAAGGACACUCCAUCCCCUCCAGAGAAUGUCUCAGAGCAUCACAACUUUAUGAUGAAGCUUCUGCCUUCCCCUCUGGGCCCUCCAAGCUGUCCAGGUGAUGGAGUGUGGCAAUGACAGAGUAACUGAGGCUGGAGAUGACCUCCACGUGCUUGUCCACCCUGCUCAGGCCAGGGCCCCACAUCACAGGCAGCAGCAUUGGGCCCUUGAUCAUACAACAAAAAAGAUCCCAAGCAAAAUGGGAUGUGCAUCUGGUUUAUUACCAGUUAAGAGCAGGAAGAUACAAAUCAUGCUUCAGAGCAGCAAGAGCAGAGCAAAGCCUGCUGAAUGCAUCCCUGUGAAACACUGGUACCCUCUGCAAAAUUAGCCAUGCUUCAGCAAUACAUUUAGUGGAAUU